UUUCUUUUUUUUUUUUAAUGUUGCCUGCUCAUUAGGUUUAUUACCUUGUAACUACAUUUAUAGGCCAUUGUUUCCAGGUAUACUGUACCUACAAAGUGCACUUAUGGUAGAUAGACAACUACUAAGUGUAGCCUAUCUGUUGCUAUGCACAGUUUUUCAGCGCCCCUCUACCAUGUCCACCUCUGGGAGGAGAUCACCAUCUUCCUGCUCAAUCCCUUCCCUUAACACAACUUUCACCUGUCCAAGGUGGACAUUAUAAGGAUGCAGAAGGCAAAAGAUAUGGGGAAUUUAGCAUGUAUGUAAUGGAAGAGCACUGAAAUGCAAGGAAUCAGAGUAUACAGAAUGUGCUCUGCAUGUCUCCUGACACUUCCCAGAAUGGACACAGAGGAGUGGAGUCAGUGGCAGAAUGAGUUUCGUGGGCAGAUCCGGGCACUGCGCCACUGGCUGAAGAGCAUGGAGAUGAGACUGCCUCCUGUGGAUCCUGCAGUGAGUUCCACCGGCUAAGCAAAUUCAGUAGCUUCAUGUUAAAUAUUGUGUACUAUCACAUCACACUGAGGAAAAGGGAAUGAGGUAAACUGAGAAUCUCUGCUGCAUCCAAAAGAUUCAUAGGACUCAGCAUCUAAGCAACAUAUAAUAGCAACUUGGGUGGUAUUUUUGUACCUUCAGUAGCCUGGGAAGGCUACCUCCUGUUUUAGCUGGGAAGGUGCAGAUAGUGUACCUUUUUAAAACUUUACUCAAAAGUUAAUUAAAGGUACAACAGUGGUCCUUAUGGUCCAGUCAUAUUAAAUAAUUUUUGAAGUACUCUAUAUUUAUAUUUAAGGUAGAAUAUACAUCAUAUAGGUACAAAAAACGUAUCUCUAAAGCUGCCACCAUAGCAAUAAGGAAAGAUACAUUUUAGUAGCCUCUGAAAGUUUUUCUCUCUUUUUGUCUUUAAUGAUUGCAAUUAUUACUGUGUGGAAAAAUAAUACAUUUAUUGGCAAGCAAUAUCAACAACAGCACUCCUCUUCCAAAACUCCAGCCUGUGAUUUUCUUAAGCGCUUCCCACUGAGUUGUUUGUCAGAAACGGAAAGAAAAAAGGGCAAAAGAGUACAAACAAACAAACAAAAAUAGCUGAUUAGGGUCUUGUUGAUGUUUAAUGGUACAAUGUUCCCAUGGCAUAGGAGUUGGCCUUUUUAAAAAAAUUAUUAAUUAAUUAAUAAAAAUAUUUUUUUUUUUUUAUAACAGAAUAUUGUCGUGUGUGCACGUGUGCAUGUGUGUUCUUCAAUGCCAGUAAAUGACAUUACAACCUCAGAGACUUGGCACCAGAGAAAGAGAGACUGAGGUGCAGUUCCUCUGAGGAAAGGACACAUCCAGGCACAAUCUAUUGUGCUGUGAGUAGAUGGGGAAAGUGGGGUGCAGUACAGCACUGGAGGCCUCUUCACACAUGAGAGAGCACACAGAAAGCACAUUAGAUUCAGAUGGGAGGAUGAGGAGGAAGAGACAAAUGGGACUUUACAGAGAGACCCUUCUGAUCUGUCUAUGUAAACCCUUGUAUAACAGCUUGUCAUCUGUUAGUGAUUAGUGUUUAGCUAUAGUCUUAUUUCAGUGGGUUUGACUUGGACAGCAUAAUAAGAAUAAUCAUCAUCAUCAUCACCACUUUGUAACACUAUGGUUAUAGUGGUAUGUAGUAUGUUUGUACCAACACUAAGCAGAAGACUUGGCAUGAUUUAGGAUACACGUUAUAGUCAAUUUUCCUUGUUAUUGCACAGUUGAUGUAUUUGUAGAGUUAUCAAGAUUAUUAGCUUGUUCUUUAAAGUAAUUACUUUGAUACAUUUACAGCAGGGAUUCCCAAACUUUUUGGGCAAAUGACCCCAAAUGGACAUAAUGAAUAUUCUGCAACCCUAAGCCUU
ensembl:lncRNA